rnacentral:rRNA from 1 species
UACGGGGGGUGCGAGCGUUGUCCGGAAUCACUGGGCGUAAAGGGCGCGUAGGUGGCCUGAUAAGGGUGUGGUGAAAGUCCGGGGCUCAACCCCGGAUCGGCCGUGCCGACUGUUAGGCUAGAGUACUGUAGGGGCAGGCGGAAUUCCGGGUGUAGCGGUGGAAUGCGUAGAGAUCCGGAGGAAGACCGGUGGCGAAGGCAGCCUCCUGGGCCAACACUGACGCUCAUGCACGAAAGCGUGGGGAGCAAACAGG